rnacentral:rRNA from 1 species
CGCACGCGCGCUACACUGACGCAUUCAUCGAGCUUACAACCUUGGCCGACAGGUCUGGGUAAUCUCUCAAAGUGCGUCGUGCUGGGGAUAGAUUAUUGUAAUUUUUAAUCUUCAACGAGGAAUUCCUAGUAAACGCAAGUCAUCAGCUUGCAUUGAUUACGU